GUCUACAGCCAUACCACCCUGAACAUAAUCUUGUCUGAUCUCAGAAGCUAAGCAAGACUGGGCCUGAUUAGUACUGGUUGGGAGAAGUCUGAAAUGGGAAUUAUUAGGUUUAAAUU
rnacentral:rRNA from 1 species